UGGAGGACUGUAGCUCAGUGGUAGAGUAUUUGCUUUGCAUGCAGACACACGCAGGUUCAAUUCUUGGCCUCUCCAG